rnacentral:lncRNA from 1 species
CUCUGCAGCAGGACAAAACACACCAUAAACACCAGGUAGUUACUCUGCAACAGGACAAAACACACCAUAAACACCAGGUAGUUACUCUGCAACAGGACAAAACACACCAUAACCACCAGGUAGUUACUCUGCAACAGGACAAAACACACACACACGAGAUACAUGGGGAAAAGGAAAUGUAAUACAUCCAAAUAACUGCAUUUGUCCAGAAGGUGUCUCUGUUGAGACAAGUCACAGAUGAGGCUGGUAGAUCAAUGAUGAGGUCAGGGAUAGCAGGUAAAGCUGCCUCCCAGCUACCCUGGUUGCUAAGUAACUGAGUGUGGGUGUGUGUGUUAUUGGCAGCCUCAGAUUUCUCCGUUACCUCAACAUCUAGUGUAUAGUGGAGAAAACUGAUAUAUAUUAGAGAGUGCCAUAGACACACACAACACAGAGUAUAAUACGGCUUCGUUCCUUUAAUGAUUUAAAUGGUAGAAACAGACGAGCUCUGGAGACCUCCAUCCAAGAGUCAUUCAUUUGUUGAGCGCCUUUUCACCCACUUCUUUUGACUGGGCCUCUAUCUCUAUGGAAUGGAGGGUCUUCAUUGACCACAACCUCCCCGCAAACUAAGACUGGACUGCAGAUUUCAAAACAUUGUUGCUUGGAUAUUCCCAUCUGGAUUGUCAAGAGCUUUAGGACAUUGAAUUGAGUUUAGAGUGUAGGACACCCACCCACACUGUGGUGGUCUGGUUAGGGGUUAUGGAGAAAGUUUGGCCAGUAGUAGUGAGUUGGCUCCAUGCCAGGGCCUUUAGCUGCACUUCAGGACCAGUUCUCUCACUCUCUGCCCCUCCCUGAGACACUUGUAGCACUGUGACCAGUCUAUACCCACCCAGUGGUGCAUGGUGUGUGUGUUCUAGCAGUCUAUAACCACAUUACAUAGUUACAUUACAUGGUUACAUUACAUGGUUACAUUGCAUGCUUACAAUACAUGGUUACAUUGCAUGGUUACAUUACAUGGUUACAUUACAUGGUUACAUUACAUGGUUACAUUACAUAGUUACAUUACAUGUUUAUAUAACACAUUCUGUAUGAAUGAGCAGUAAAUCAGAAAUCAUUCUGUAUGAAUGAGCAGUAAAUCAGAACUCAUUCUAUAUGAAUGAGCAGGAAAUCAGAACUCAUUCUGUAUGAAU